rnacentral:lncRNA from 7 species
GGCUACUGAAAGGAGAAUGUCUCUUGGAGCUAGGCUGCUUCUUGAGGAGGUGUGCUGUAUAGACAGAGAUUCCUAUCAUUAGUUGGAUGAGUUCUACUCUUCUUUCUAUAUAUGACUACUAGCCUACCUGUGAAUUCUUUGCCUGGUAUUGCUGAGAACAUGUAAGAAGCAAUCUUGCUGCUUCAUGAGCAGGACAGAUCCAUUUGCCCAUAUGUGAGCCUGCAUGUGCCCAGUUGGCUUCAGCUCCUUCUCUAGAAGAGCACAGCCUGCUGCCUCUAGCCAGAAGCCUCUCUGUGGGCAGAGUCUCGUUUCUUGUCAGUCACCACAAUGUGAAUCCUAGCAGGAGUUGUACUGAUGGCCAUGUAGCUGACUUUUGAUCCUUUCCUGGACAAAAUCUGCACUGAACAGAAACUGAGUAUUCUGCAGGAGAAGUCAUAUGUGAAGCCCACAGCCGACUUCACCCCAAGUGAUUCCCAAUCAGCUGCUCUUUCUAUCUCCAUGUAAACUCAGGACACUGGUCUCUUAAGAGAGCAGAGUUGCAGCAGAUCUGAACAGGAACGAUGAAGUAAGGAAACAUCUCUCUUCUUCCUCAUGUAAGGGUGGUUGAUAAACAAGUUCUUCUUUUCCAUAAAACAGUGAUGAUUAUUCUACAGCUAGAUUUUUGGCUUUGUAUUUUUUGGGGAAAAAAAAUAGAAAUCUAGACCUCCAAAAGAUAAAUGGUUAAAAUGAAUUAGAUCACUUGACUAAAAAGGGUAUAGAGCAUGUUGAUGGAAUGUUAUGAAAAAGACUUUCCUAGUUUAUUUUUUGACACCUUAAAUAUGGAAUUGCAACUGUAGAGAAUAAAAUAGCAUUUCCCUUCACAUUGGGUGAAAUGUCUUUCACUUAAUAGCCAUUAUGGCAGUGAGGAGAAAGAGAAUAGAAUAAACUAAUCUUGUGAGUGGUGGUGAUCGCCUACCUUCCCCAAAACCAACCCUGACAUCUCUCAGCUAAAUUGAUUAGACUGGAAGGACCCAGAUGUUGUUCAAUCUACUUAAACAUGUAAUGGGUUUAAAUCUGCCUUUGCCUGCUCCAUAUUUUUUAGGCCUUAGGAGCUUUCUUGUCUGCUGUGGUAAUCUGGAUAAAAUUUAGGCAUCUUUAAGAGUCCAUCACUCAGAAGUAGACUCUGUAGCAUGUGUGUAAUAAAAUCUGCAGUAUCCAUUCAUCUGCCUAGAGUCCCAUUGCUGGGGGCUUGUAGCAGACCAUUGUGCAGACUCCUCUAUUGCUGCAAGAAAAGUCAGUUCUGCUCACCACAAUUAUUAUUAGUAUUUUUUAUUUUAUUUUUUGAGUAACAGAUAUUAGCAUGUCUUAAUAACAUUUUCAGAGUAUCAGUGCUUUCCCAGGAAGAAUUCCUUAUAGGGAUUGUUUAAUUUUAUUUUCUGUUAAUUUGUAGCUUGGGGUUGGGCAAAUUUUGUGUAUGAAACCAGUUACAGAUAAAAGUGACAGCACUUAGUGAUACAAAUAAUUGAUGCAAUGUUGCAAUCCGGUGAUUGGGGCCAAAAUGAAGUAAUUGUGCUUUAAAGUUAAUUACCACCUUGACUGAUAGCAGUCAGCACUGAGAGGAAACUGGUUAGAAAAGUCUCAAUAUAGUAUCAAUGUAAUAAUUGAACUUCAGACUUCAGUCAGUGACAACACCGAGAAUAAAUAGCUAAUAGCUAUUACAUAAUAGCACACCUAAUAGCUGUGACAGAAUAAUCAAGAAAGCAAGUUUGUUUAUAUUUUAAUGCACACUUUUGAGUGGUAAUGGAUAACAUGCCUUGUGGUUUUAGCAAGAACUAGUGGUAUUUGAAAGGAAAACGUUUAAUACAAAAUGUCAAUGUGAUCUUUGCAUACGUCUACUGCACAGUUCAGCGGAGGAGGAAAAGAAAUAUUGCAUCCCUCUCUGUAGGAAUUUGGUUGGUCUUAUGUAGUUUUUAUUGAUCCUUAGCUGUUGCCGAGUAUCUCACAGGAAUAUUGGGCUGGGUCUAGGUAGCUGUGCUGUGCAUCUCCAGCUAGUUUUCAAUUUUCAAACCUUGCUGAAUUUGCAGUGAUCCCAUGUAGCUUAUCAUGCAUUUAUCCCUACAAUGUGAAAAGCUAUUUCCUAGCUCUAGCAGGCUGGAUAUAAUACUGCGCUGGACUCAUCAGUUAGGUGUAAAAUUCCUAUCUGUGUUGCCUUUGU